rnacentral:rRNA from 1 species
CCCGGCGACAAGCGGUGGAGUAUGUGGUUAAUUCGAUGCAACGCGAGAACUUACCUGGUCUUGACAUCCCGGAGACCCUUAGGAAACUAGGGGUGCUUCCAUCUGGAAGAAUCUGGAGACAGGUGCUGCAUGGCUGUCGUCAGCUCGUGUCGUGAGAUGUUGGGUUAAGUCCCGCAACGAGCGCAACCCUUGCCUUUAGUUGCCAGCAGUUCGGCUGGGCACUCUAAAGGGACUGCCGGUGUUAAACCGGAGGAAGGUGGGGAUGACGUCAAGUCCUCAUGGCCUUUAUGACCAGGGCUACACACGUACUACAAUGGCCGAUACAAAGGGCAGCGACACUGCGAGGUGAAGCCAAUCCCGUAAAAUCGGUCUCAGUCCGGAUUGGAGUCUGCAACUCGACUCCAUGAAGUUGGAAUCGCUAGUAACCGCAGAUCAGCUACGUUGCGGUGAAUACGUUCCCGGGCCUU